AUGGAGGGGCUCGACGUCGACGACGUCUUCCACCACUACCGGCUGAGCCCUACGGAAGUGGAGGCCGUCACAUACUACCUGCCACGCCUCCUCUCCGGCGAGACGCUGCAUGCCGUCGACAAGCUCAUCAACCGCGUUGAAAUCUCCGGCUGCGAGUCCAAGGAUCUGGCCCGCCAGUUCGCGCCCGUGCCGCAGGCCGUGAGCAGCGGCGACCGGUUCUUCUUCACCACCUGCAAGAGCAAGAACGGGAGCAAGCUCCAGAGCGUGCGCGGCGCCGGCGGCGGCACCUGGAGCAUCCAGAAGACCACGGAGAUCAUCCACGCGGGAUGCAAGGUCGGCGAGGUCAAGAACCUGUCCUUCAAGAAGAAGGGCAAGUCCACCGGCUGGGUCAUGGAGGAGUACCGGUGCCUGCUGCCAGAGGCCACCGUCUCCGACGGGGUGAAGGUGUUCUGCAAAAUGCACUUGGCUCAGCAUGCUCCUGACGCGGCCCGCCAGGAAUCGGCCGCGUACAAGCAUCGAGAAGCACAAACAGAGGCCGUGACCCCGAGCACGCACGCGCAGAAGAGGCCACCGCCCGCUGCCGCCGCCGAUCCUCAUCCGCCGCGCCCCAAGAAGAGGAUGCGCGGUGCCGUCCCCGUCCCGGUCCCGGCAUAUGCCACGCCGUCCUUCUUGAUGUAUGAUGAGGCAGCCAACUUCCCUGUUCAGUGUGCACAAGCAUCAUGCGAGUCCACUACAACAUCCAGCCGCUCCGACGUUGCUCAAGCUCCUGAGAUUUCCUCCCAGUCAGAUGUGCUUGAGUCCACCCAAUCAGUUGUGCUGGAGUCUGUCAAGCAUUACAGCCAACAACAGAUUGUUCCUGAGGCUGGCUCAAGCAUUGCAAGGAGCUCAUCUGAAGAGGAUGUCUUUGAGCCAUUGGAGCCUAUUUCCAAAUUGCCGGAUGGGGACGAAGAUGGUUUUGAUCUUGAAGAACUAAUGAGAAUGAUGGAAGACGACCCAAUUGAAGUUGAGCCGGUCACUGGAGCCAACACUGGCGUGGAGAUGGGCCAACAGGAACCUCUGUGCCUGGAUGCCUUGGACCAAGGCGUGCUGGAGGGUAUGCUGCAGUUCGAUUACCCUUGCCCAAUGACGAGUUCAGAGGAUCCGGCCAUGCACAACCCUGCCUUCCAUGAUGCUGACAAGGAGAAGAGGUACAAUGCCGCGUCGGAUCUUGACGCUCCAUCGCAGGACCACUUGUUCAAACCGCGGCCGUGCUCCUUCGAUCCAUUUGAAGCAGCGUGGAAGGCCGAAGAGGCGCUCGAGAAGCCGCGGCCAAUCUUCACGCUGGAGGGACAGAGCAACUUCUUCUCGCCUGCAAGUGUCUAUUAG
rnacentral:rRNA from 1 species